GCCUGGCUGGCUCAGUUGGAGAGCAUGUGACUCUUGUUUUUGGGUCAUGAGUUCAAGCCCCAUGUUGGGUG
rnacentral:tRNA from 1 species